GGGGCCGUCAUGGUUUUGACGGAGGAGAUUUGCUUAGCGGCAGCAGUGGUCUGGUAAACCUAAAGAUCAAACAAAAAUAACUGACAACACUGUCAAACCCUGGAUGGUGCGUAACAACGCCGUCCGCGCUUGCGCCUAAUUAGAGCACCCGACAUAGGGUUCCCGCCACGCGGGACAAGCACGUCACCCUCGCUUUCUUCUUCUUGGGCGAGGAUUGACGUCUAGACAAGAGGAUGGUCCGCGUACUUGGCUUAACUACGCGGGCGAGAUACCUUAGCCUCGCUGGACGGACUCGACGUCGUCACGCCGUUCCAGCUAAAUCUUGAUGGCGUCUAAACUGUAGACGCUGUUAGGGGAACUCCUUCGGACCCGGGUUCGACUCCCGGCGACUCCACCA
rnacentral:tmRNA from 1 species